AAGCAGCUAUGUACUGUUUUGUAAAUAUGAACUAUGUGGGAGGAUCUGCAGGAGAGGAAACUGAGACAUCAGAGAAUUCCCCAUGACUUGCUUAAACAAAAUGUCUUCCAGAAGCUGUCCAGAAGAGGCUGGUAUGGCACAGAUGGUAUGGCAGUGCCAGGUUCAUAAACCUGGGGCCUAGAAGG